rnacentral:lncRNA from 1 species
UGGGAGUAACUAUCUACCUAUCUAUCAGUGGAACUAAGAAGGUGAACAAGGAUCUCAGCCUUCAUAACCUUUGGAUAGUUCGACUAUGAGGAAUGCUCUGAACUGUCUCCCAGAGAAUAUUCAAAAUGGCUUUGGGAAAGACCUCAUAUCACCCUAUGCUGGGCACUACCUGAGCCUUUCUUGUUUGAAGACAUCAAUCUAGCUAGUACAGCAAAAUUCCAGUGAUGACUUUCUUCUCUUCAAUUUUUCUGUUUGCCACUUUCUAUAAUACAUGUCAUACAGUUGUUGAAAUGUCAACAUUGAUUGAUUAUCUAUGGCUCAAAUAUUUUCAAUACUUUUAAUCUUUGUCAUGUAAUUCUCUGUAGUGGGAAACAUAAAUGUCCUCUUUUUCACAUUGUUCUGCCCUUUAUAUUUGUAUUUUUGAUCUCAAAGUCUUUUCCUAUAACUCUAUCACCUUCAUUGUCACCAUAUUAUAUUGUAAUUUUGUUAAUUCAUUUCUUUUUUUCAAUCUUUACUAAACCUUCUGUUUUUCUUUCAUAUUUUAGGUUUUGGUCAGUUAGGCAAUCAUCCUUGACAGUCUGUACCAAAAGAAAGAAAAAGAACACCUAA